UAGGGAAUCUUCCGCAAUGGACGAAAGUCUGACGGAGCGACGCCGCGUGAGCGAAGAAGGUCUUCGGAUCGUAAAGCUCUGUAGUCAGGGAAGAAGCAGUGCCGUUCGAACAGGGCGGCGCGGUGACGGUACCUAACGAGAAAGCCCCGGCUAACUACGUGCCAGCAGCCGCGGUAAUACGUAGGGGGCGAGCGUUGUCCGGAAUGACUGGGCGUAAAGGGUACGUAGGCGGCCAGGUAAGUCAGGUGUGAAAGUCUGGGGCUCAACCCUGAUUAGCACUUGAAACUGCUUGGCUUGAGUCGAGGAGAGGAAGGUGGAAUUCCUGGUGUAGCGGUGAAAUGCGUAGAUAUCAGGAGGAAUACCGGUGGCGAAGGCGACCUUCUGGCCUUGGACUGACGCUGAGGUACGAAAGCAUGGGGAGCAAACAGG
rnacentral:rRNA from 1 species